CCUACGGGAGGCAGCAGUGAGGAAUAUUGGUCAAUGGGCGCGAGCCUGAACCAGCCAAGUAGCGUGAAGGAUGACUGCCCUACGGGUUGUAAACUUCUUUUAUAAAGGAAUAAAGUGAGGCACGUGUGCCUUUUUGUAUGUACUUUAUGAAUAAGGAUCGGCUAACUCCGUGCCAGCAGCCGCGGUAAUCCGGAGGAUGCGAGCGUUAUCCGGAUUUAUUGGGUUUAAAGGGUGCGAAGGGGGCGUGUCAAGUCAGCGGUAAAAUGUCGGGGCUAAACCCCGGACGGCCGUUGAAACUGGCGGGCUCGAGUUGGAGAGAGGUAGGCGGAAUUCGUGGUGUAGCGGUGAAAUGCUUAGAUAUCACGAAGAACGCCGAUUGCGAAGGCAGCAUACCGGACCGCCACUGACGCUGAGGCACGAAAGCGUGGGUAUCGAACAGGAUUAGAUACCCGAGUAGUC
rnacentral:rRNA from 1 species